AAUAAGUGUAGUUUUACACUAUUCAUCUCCAACGAUUGACUGUUCGUCUUAUUUAAAAAAAUUUUAUGAUUAAUAUUUUUAUUGUUAUUAUAUGAUAAAAUAUGAAUGGUACUUUAUGUGUGACUAAAUUUUUUAAAAUUUUUCAUAAAUUUUUUAAAUAAGACAAACGGUCAAAAGUUGGACACGGAUUUCCACGGCUGCACUUAAU
rnacentral:pre_miRNA from 1 species